GGUUGAUUCUGCCAGUAGUCAUAUGCUUGUCUCAAAGAUUAAGCCAUGCAUGUCUAAGUAUAAACAUUUGUACUGUGAAACUGCGAAUGGCUCUUUAAAUCAGUUAUAGUUUAUUUGAUAGUACCUUACUACUUGGAUAACCGUGGUAAUUCUAGAGCUAAUACAUGCAAAAAACCCUGACUUCUGGAAAGGGUGUAUUUAUUAGAUAAAAAACCAAUGCGGGGCAACCCGGUUUUUUGGUGAUUCAUAAUAACUUUUCGAAUCGUAUGACUUCACGUCGACGAUGUUUCAUUCAAAUUUCUGCCCUAUCAACUGUCGAUGGUAGGAUAGAGGCCUACCAUGGUUGCAACGGGUAACGGAGAAUUAGGGUUCGAUUCCGGAGAGGGAGCCUGAGAAAUGGCUACCACAUCUAAGGAAGGCAGCAGGCGCGCAAAUUACCCAAUUUCAAUUCGAAGAGGUAGUGACAAGAAAUAACAAUACAGGGCCCUUUGGGUCUUGUAAUUGGAAUGAGUCAAAUUUAAAUCCCUGAACGAGGACCCAUUGGAGGGCAAGUCUGGUGCCAGCAGCCGCGGUAAUUCCAGCUCCAAUAGUGUAUAUUAGUGUUGUUGCAGUUGAAGCGCUCGUAGUUGGAUCUUGGGAUAGUUUGAUUUGGUCGACCGUCAAGGUAUGUACUGGUUAAACUGUUCUUUUUUCUGAAGAACUGAUAUGCCCUUAAUUGUGUGUGUCAAGGAUUCAGAACUUUUACUUUGAAAAAAUUAGAGUGUUCAAAGCAGGCUUAGCUUGAAUACAUUAGCAUGGAAUAAUAAAAUAGGACUUUCAGUUCUAUUUUGUUGGUUUCUAGAACUGAAGUAAUGAUUAAUAGGGAUAGUUGGGGGCAUUAGUAUUUAAUUGUCAGAGGUGAAAUUCUUGGAUUUAUGAAAGACUAACUUCUGCGAAAGCAUUUGCCAAGGAUGUUUUCAUUAAUCAAGAACGAAAGUCGGGGGAUCGAAGACGAUCAGAUACCGUCGUAGUCUCGACCAUAAACUAUGCCGACUAGGGAUCAGCAGAUGUUACUUAUAUGACUCUGUUGGCACCUUAUGAGAAAUCAAAGUCUUUGGGUUCCGGGGGGAGUAUGGUCGCAAGGCUGGAACUUAAAGAAAUUGACGGAAGGGCACCACCAGGAGUGGAGCCUGCGGCUUAAUUUGACCCAACACGGGGAAACUCACCAGGUCCAGACAUAGUAAGGAUUGACAGAUUGAGAGCUCUUUCUUG
rnacentral:rRNA from 1 species